rnacentral:rRNA from 1 species
CAGGGCCUCCACUCUACCUUGAACAUAGCUGGUCUUCUCUGAUUUCAAAAGCUAAGUGGGGUCAAGCCCAGUUAGUAUUUGGAGGUGAAACUACCCAGGAUUACUAGGGAUGUCUAGGUAGGGCUAUGA